CAAAUUCUCCCUCUCAGGUUCUACCAAUUGCUUGGUUCUAGCCUCCAUCUUCAAGGUCUCUUCUUUAAGGACAUCUCUUACACUUUCCUUUAAUUGAUCGGCAAGAUUUACCCUAUGUUGUCUAGGUAAAUUGAAGUAUUGCCUAGUGGAAAUCCCAGCCCCAAUACCUCUAACUCUCCCUGGAUGCUCGGGACCCAAAGCCAU
rnacentral:lncRNA from 1 species